rnacentral:rRNA from 1 species
AUCGAACGCUGGCGGCAGGCUUAACACAUGCAAGUCGAACGAGUGGCGGACGGGAGAGUAAUGCUUGGGACUCUAGCUUAUGGAGGGGGAUAACUACGGGAAACUGUGGCUAAUACCGCGUACCAUAGGAUUAGCCCAAGUGGGAUUAGGUAGUUGGGGAGGUAAAGGCUCACCAAGCCGACGAUCUCUAGCUGGUCUGAGAGGAUGACCAGCAAAACUGGGCCUGAGACACGGCCAAGACUCCUACGGGAGGAAGCAGUGGGGAAUAUUGCGCAAUGGGGGAAACCUGACGCAGCCAUGCCGCGUGAUUGAAGAGGGCCUUCGGGUUGUAAAGUUCUUUCUGUAGCGAGGCGUUAACUACAGAAGAAGCACCGGCUAACUCCGUGCCAGCAGCCGCGGUAAUUC